rnacentral:tRNA from 5 species
GCCGGAUUAGUUUAGUGGUAAAACAAGUCAAUGGUAAUGACUAGAGAAGUGUUCGAUUCACUUAUUCGGCACCA